GAGAACUGCGCGGGUUGACAGGAGCCAGGCCUGUGCGUGAUGCCGAGUGGUGGUAAAUGCUUUAUCAUGAUUAUCGAGGUAAGCUUCCAAUCUAUUCCUUGCUUAAUUAUCUUUGCAACUUGCAAGGGCUGUGGCGUGAUACGCAAGAUUUUCCACGCGUGGCAACUCUUACGUAAUUGCAUGGAUUCUAACAGGUAACCAUAGCUCUGUGUUCAUUAACUUGCAAGGAAUAACCUCUUCUCCGUUAGGUGGAGUGGUCACAUAAAACCCAUAACUAUGUGCUUUCACUGCUCAAACGUCCUCGUCCAUCGUGGAUACACACUAAAAACCAGGUAAUCUUUUUGGAAGUUACCCCCUUGCGUGUGAAAGAGUCUUACAUUAGUUUGUUCUUCGUACACCAGUUCUAAAAAACACAUGUGACUUUUCAGAGGGCGCUUAAAUCCUGUGUGUGAUUGGAGCUAAACUUGAAAACGCUGUGCCUCCAUAUGUUUGUCUUGUAGAAGAAUGCUACUCAACUCAACUCAGAGCUCCAGAGCUCCAGAGCUCACAGUGCAGUGCACCGC
rnacentral:lncRNA from 1 species